GAACGCUGGCGGCAGGCCUAACACAUGCAAGUCGAGCGAGGACUUCGGUUCUAGCGGCGGACGGGUGAGUAACGCGUGGGAAUGUGCCCUUCUCUACGGAAUAGCCCUGGGAAACUGGGAGUAAUACCGUAUACGCCCUAUUGGGGAAAGAUUUAUCGGAGAAGGAUCAGCCCGCGUUGGAUUAGGUAGUUGGUGGGGUAAUGGCCUACCAAGCCGACGAUCCAUAGCUGGUUUGAGAGGAUGAUCAGCCACACUGGGACUGAGACACGGCCCAGACUCCUACGGGAGGCAGCAGUGGGGAAUCUUAGACAAUGGGGGCAACCCUGAUCUAGCCAUGCCGCGUGAGUGAUGAAGGCCUUAGGGUUGUAAAGCUCUUUCAGCUGGGAAGAUAAUGACGGUACCAGCAGAAGAAGCCCCGGCUAACUCCGUG
rnacentral:rRNA from 1 species